UUUUUUUUUUUCUCCGAGGCUGCACUUUGGAAGAGAUCAUGUAGAAAGGACAGAAAGUGAGCAGGGAGCGGGGGCUUUUGUCUAUUGUUCUCCUUGUGCUACUUGAGAGAAACUGCAAUCCCAAGACCUAACAGAACCUAAAAAUGGU